rnacentral:rRNA from 1 species
GGAACGGCCAUUGAUACUGCUAGACUUGAAUUAUUAGGAAGUAACUAGAAUAUGUAGUGUAGCGGUGAAAUGCUUAGAGAUUACAUGGAAUACCAAUUGCGAAGGCAGGUUACUACUAAUGGAUUGACGCUGAUGGACGAAAGCGUGGGUAGCGAACAGGAUUAGAUACCCUGGUAGUCCACGCCGUAAACGAUGGAUACUAGCUGUUGGGAGCGAUCUCAGUGGCUAAGCGAAAGUGAUAAGUAUCCCACCUGGGGAGUACGUUCGCAAGAAUGAAACUCAAAGGAAUUGACGGGGGCCCGCACAAGCGGUGGAGCAUGUGGUUUAAUUCGAUGAUACGCGAGGAACCUUACCAAGGCUUAAAUGUAGAUUGACCGGUUUGGAAACAGAUCUUUCGCAAGACAAUUUACAAGGUGCUGCAUGGUUGUCGUCAGCUCGUGCCGUGAGGUGUCAGGUUAAGUCCUAUAACGAGCGCAACCCCUGUUGUUAGUUGCCAGCGAGUCAUGUCGGGAACUCUAGCAAGACUGCCAGUGCAAACUGUGAGGAAGGUGGGGAUGACGUCAAAUCAUCACGGCCCUUACGCCUUUGGGCUACACACGUGCUACAAUGGCCGGUACAGAGAGCAGCCACUGG